CGAACUCUGGUAUUGAUUGGUGCUUGCAUCAUGAUUUACAUUUGAGUGAGUGGCGAACUGGUGAGUAACACGUGGGAAACCUGCCCAGAAGCGGGGGAUAACACCUGGAAACAGAUGCUAAUACCGCAUAACAACUUGGACCGCAUGGUCCGAGCUUGAAAGAUGGCUUCGGCUAUCACUUUUGGAUGGUCCCGCGGCGUAUUAGCUAGAUGGUGGGGUAACGGCUCACCAUGGCAAUGAUACGUAGCCGACCUGAGAGGGUAAUCGGCCACAUUGGGACUGAGACACGGCCCAAACUCCUACGGGAGGCAGCAGUAGGGAAUCUUCCACAAUGGACGAAAGUCUGAUGGAGCAACGCCGCGUGAGUGAAGAAGGGUUUCGGCUCGUAAAACUCUGUUGUUAAAGAAGAACAUAUCUGAGAGUAACUGUUCAGGUAUUGACGGUAUUUAACCAGAAAGCCACGGCUAACUACGUGCCAGCAGCCGCGGUAAUACGUAGGUGGCAAGCGUUGUCCGGAUUUAUUGGGCGUAAAGCGAGCGCAGGCGGUUUUUUAAGUCUGAUGUGAAAGCCUUCGGCUCAACCGAAGAAGUGCAUCGGAAACUGGGAAACUUGAGUGCAGAAGAGGACAGUGGAACUCCAUGUGUAGCGGUGAAAUGCGUAGAUAUAUGGAAGAACACCAGUGGCGAAGGCGGCUGUCUGGUCUGUAACUGACGCUGAGGCUCGAAAGUAUGGGUAGCAAACAGGAUUAGAUACCCUGGUAGUCCAUACCGUAAACGAUGAAUGCUAAGUGUUGGAGGGUUUCCGCCCUUCAGUGCUGCAGCUAACGCAUUAAGCAUUCCGCCUGGGGAGUACGGCCGCAAGGCUGAAACUCAAAGGAAUUGACGGGGGCCCGCACAAGCGGUGGAGCAUGUGGUUUAAUUCGAAGCUACGCGAAGAACCUUACCAGGUCUUGACAUACUAUGCAAAUCUAAGAGAUUAGACGUUCCCUUCGGGGACAUGGAUACAGGUGGUGCAUGGUUGUCGUCAGCUCGUGUCGUGAGAUGUUGGGUUAAGUCCCGCAACGAGCGCAACCCUUAUUAUCAGUUGCCAGCAUUAAGUUGGGCACUCUGGUGAGACUGCCGGUGACAAACCGGAGGAAGGUGGGGAUGACGUCAAAUCAUCAUGCCCCUUAUGACCUGGGCUACACACGUGCUACAAUGGAUGGUACAACGAGUUGCGAACUCGCGAGAGUAAGCUAAUCUCUUAAAGCCAUUCUCAGUUCGGAUUGUAGGCUGCAACUCGCCUACAUGAAGUCGGAAUCGCUAGUAAUCGCGGAUCAGCAUGCCGCGGUGAAUACGUUCCCGGGCCUUGUACACACCGCCCGUCACACCAUGAGAGUUUGUAACACCCAAAGUCGGUGGGGUAACC
rnacentral:rRNA from 1 species